CCUACGGGUGGCAGCAGUCGAGAAUCAUUCACAAUGGGGGAAACCCUGAUGGGGCGACGCCGCGUGGGGGAAUGAAGGUCUGCGGAUUGUAAACCCCUGUCAUGUGGGAGCAAAUUAAAAAGGUAGUACCACAAGAGGAAGAGACGGCUAACUCUGGGCAAGCAGCCGCGGUAAUACAGAGGUCUCAAGCGAUGUUCGGAAUCACUGGGCGUAAAGCGUGCGUAGGCUGUUUCGUAAGUCGUGUGUGAAAGGCGCGGGCUCAACCCGCGGACGGCACAUGAUACUGCGAGACUAGAGUAAUGGAGGGGGAACCGGAAUUCUCGGUGUAGCAGUGAAAUGCGUAGAGAUCGAGAGGAACACUCGUGGCGAAGGCGGGUUCCUGGACAUUAACUGACGCUGAGGCACGAAGGCCUGGGGAGCGAAAAGGAUUAGAUACCCGAGUAGUC
rnacentral:rRNA from 1 species